rnacentral:rRNA from 1 species
CAACUUUCAGCAACGGAUCUCUUGGCUCUCGCAUCGAUGAAGAACGCAGCGAAAUGCGAUAAGUAAUGUGAAUUGCAGAAUUCAGUGAAUCAUCGAAUCUUUGAACGCACCUUGCGCCCUUUGGCUAUUCCAAAGGGCAUGCCUGUUUGAGUAUCAU